rnacentral:tRNA from 1 species
GGGCCCUUAGCUCAAUGGUAGAGCGCUCGACUCAUAAUCGAUUGGUUAUAGGUUCGAAUCCUAUAGGGCCCA